rnacentral:lncRNA from 1 species
UGUGGUGAUCCAGCCCUCUCCCGUGGUGGUGACCCUGCCCGGCCCCAUCCUCAGCUCCUUCCCCCAGAACACCGCUGUGGGAUCCACCACCUCAGCUGCCGUUGGUAGCAUCCUGAGUUCUGAAGGAGUGCCCAUCUCCUCCGGGGGCUUUGGCCUCUCUGGCUUUGGUGGCCGCUACAGUGGCAGAAGGUGCCUGCCCUGUUAAAGCCCAUGAGGACGUCCAGUGAGCACAAAGACCACGAAGCCCGAAGCCCUGUGCUGGACUGAGGACGGAGCUGCUGGCCAGAGUUUCCAGCCUGCACUGUCUGGAAACACGGCCAGCAGACAGCUUCUUCUUCUUGCGCUUUCUUCUCUUCAUCCUGAGUCCUUGUUGUCUCCUGCUGUCCUGUGCCAUGAGUUCAUCUGGAAGCAAGUCAAGAAUGUCCUGUUUCUUCUUCCUGCCAUCUUCUCAGGGAGGAAGAUGUGCAUGCUUUUGUGGUGAAGUAGGGUCUUGCAUGACAGCUGUCCUUGUGUCAGACUUGGCCGGAUCCCUUCCAUUGUGAAUUGUUGUGAUUCCUUCUUCAGACUCAUUAAAGUUUUUGCUUCAAAGUAAUCUGAGUCUCCUUAUGUUCCUUUUCUAUUGGGAUAUUCAGUGAAUCUGUCCAGUGAGAAAUGUGAUGUCUUGGAUUGGAAAAGCAUGAGAGAAUAUGGUCCUAAUGUGAAUCUGCUUCGUUCCUGUAGGAGAUGAGUACCCUUAAAGAAUUUGGUCUUUAUAAGAGUCUAAGAGAGGUGGGCAAAUUUGUAUUGACAAAGUCUUAGAAUCAUAGAAUUAAAGAACUGGGUUUGAAAGGGACCUAAAUAUAUCUCUGGGUCCAACCCCCAUUGUGAAAGCAGGUUUCUUAGAGCAGUUUGCCCAAGUAGGUACCCAGACCGGUCUUUAGUGUCUUCAAAGAAGGAGAGUCCAAAACCUUCCUGUGCAGCCUGUUCCAGUGCUCUGUCACUGUCACUGUGAAGAAGUUCUUUUGAAUGUUGGUGCGGAACUUCCUGUGAUCCAUUUUGUGUACAUUGCCCCUUUUCCUUUCCCCACAAACCCCUGAAAAGAGGUUGUCCACAUCCCUCUGUCUCCUACACUUAAGGUAUUUAUAAACAUGAAUAAGAUCCCCUCUCAGUCUUCUUUUCUCAAGGCUCAACAGACCCAGGUCUGUCAGCCUUUCCUCAUAGGUGAGAUGUUCCUUGCCCCCUUUGUG